rnacentral:rRNA from 1 species
UUGCAUAUCAAUAAGCGGAGGAAAAGAAACCAACAGGGAUUGCCCUAGUAACGGCGAGUGAACAGGCAAGAGCUCAGAUUUGAAAGGCACUUUUGUGCCGUUGUAUUCUGAAGUUAGGGUCCUGAGAAACGAUGCUUAAGUCUUCUGGAAAGGAGCGCCAUGGAGGGUGAUAGCCCCGUCUAGCAUUGACCUCAUAUAGGAUCUUAACAUGGAGUCGAGUUGUUUGGGAAUGCAGCUCAAAUGGGUGGUAUGCUCCAUCUAAAGCUAAAUAUCUGCGAGAGACCGAUAGUAAACAAGUACUGUGAGGGAAAGAUGAAAAGAACUUUGAAAAGAGAGUGAAAAAGUACGUGAAAUUGUUGAAAUGGAAGGGUAGGCCGCUAACCAUGUAGAGCCGUGUUUGGGGGGAAGAUAAAUGCUGUAGAAUGUAGCUCCUCGGAGUAUUAUAGAUGCAGUUCAUAUUCCCACCCGAGCGCGAGGAUCUCAGGUUCUACUAAAUGGUGGUCUACCACCCGUCUUGAAACACGGACCA